GCUGGUUUACAAAUGGAUUGGCCCUGGGAGCGUGGCUAAUGCCUGGAGCUCUCGCAAUGGACUUAUAACUCAUUUGGGGAGGGGGAACUGCCACACGACCCCAUACUAAUAACACCUACGUGCCACUUAAGGCCGCCACCACCACAAUACGGUAAGGCAGCCGCCGCAUGUGCUAGACAUGCGCCUGAGGGCGCCUCCAGGCGCGCGCCCCUACCUAUGUUCAUUCGCACGAGCGCAAGCAAGGUCUUGUCAUCAGCACUCCCUGAAUCCUGGGUAAACAUCCAACCAUGCAACGGGCGCCAAUCCGCGCCAAAUCACGUCCAGCCACGCAACAGUAUGUGUCCUGCUCGCUCGGCGCUCAACUCCUCUUAUGAGGUCACCUCGCGCCAAGCUGCAGGAGGCCACCGCCGCCCGCCGCGCGCUCUUCCUCAUGGCGGCACAGCACCAUGAGGAGGACAUCACGUACGGCCACUGUGGAGACGGGCGUCAAGCAUGGGCAUCACGCCCGACAGCCCUCAUCAUACUCAACGUCCUGCUCGCCCUUCUAAUGGAUUGGCUGCCGGCCAUUAGAAGGUCGAGCAGGACGUUCAGGAAGAUGGAGCUGUCGGGCGUGAGGCCCAUACAUGACGCCCGUCUCCAAACAGUAGUGGCGGUGAUGUCCUCCUUGUGGUGCUGUGCCGCCAUGAGGAAGAGCGCGCGGCGGGCGGCGGUGGCCUCCUGCAGCUUGGAGCGAGGUGAUGGCAGCGCGUGAGAUAGGUGGGCGUGCGCAGGGACAUCACGAUCUGUGAGCGGACGGGGAGAGGUGGGAACGAAGUGAAGAUGUGCGGGUUGGGACUGCUUCAGAACGAACAAGACGCCCCAGCUAGCUGGACGGCGAUGCAAGAUGCACAGGCCGUCGUCUUACCUUGUUGUGGAGGCGCUUUUGCGGUCGCGUGCAGCCCCUCCUGCUGGUGUUGAGGCCGCCGCCAGAGAGGUAGACCGGGAUUGAUGUCAUCCAGCAGCCGCCUAAGCAGUAGACCACUCUGGGAAAAGGUCUUCCCCGGAAAAAAAUCCGUUCCCGGAAAAAUGCUGAACUUUCCCGGAAGGGGCCAAAACUUUCCCGGAAGGGGGGCAAAAAGGGGGGCCCUGGUCGACCAGGGCCCCGGGCCAUACCAUGGCCAUGCAGCGCCAUCAGGUAUGUAUGUAGUUGGUGAGGACCCUCAGCGAGGGCACCUGUGCACGCAUGUGGAUGGAGAGAGAAAGUAGCACACGUGUUGCGGGAGUGCAGCAGAGGCUUGUGUGUGAAUAAGUAAGGGUGGGAUGUAUGGGCGGCCAAGUCGAUGGAUGGCCUCGCUAGGGGGGGCGCGGGGGUUAUAUAUAUGUGCCCCCAAUGGAGCCCAUUAUUAGGUCCGAAUAGUCAAGGAGUCGUACGUCGCCCAUGCAAUCCAGACUGCAGUGCGAGCUCUACGUAUAACCUUCGGUCUCAGUCAUCUGGGAGAUUUUGCGGGCGCCGCGCCACGGACAAUGCCACCCAGGCUCGGCCAACAAACCCGCUCGGCGAGCAAAGCAGUUCGCAAUACACAAGUUCUACCCACCUUCGGAGCAGGAAGUAAGCAACCCGGGCGCCGAGGAAUUGGGAGCGCCAGGGCCAGGGCAGCAGGGCCAGGGAUGGAUGGCGCGGGAGGGGGGGGGCAAGGUAAGGCGCGGGGAUGCAACAGGCCCCUCGUGCCCGCGUGAGUCGUGUGCGUGCGUGCUCCCCUCAUGCCCGCAUAAGUCGUGUGCUCCUCUCACGCCCUCGUGAGUCGCCCGAUCAUGUAUGUGCUCCCGCAGUUGUCGCUGCACCCAGCGUUCCCUCUAGCACAUGCCGUGCUGGGCGGCUAGCUGCGCUGUCAGCACUACGGCACAAUGAACGCGCCGAGGUGGCGAGGUUGGCGUGCGUGGACAGCAGGAACGGGCACCGCUUGCGGUUGCAUGCAUCCAGCUCGCUCACCCGGAGCGAGUCUGCCACACGCACACGCGUGGCGCCGUCGCCUGCAGCCGUACGUGGCGCAGCCGGUGUGCGACCCUGUCGUGCGACCCGCCGGCGGUGUCUGGAGCGCUAUGCAGUCUUCGCGCAGAUCAGCUGCGAUCAGACGCACGAUCGAUUUCAGCAAAUACCGGCGCGCGUCCGGUCAUCACACGUACCUUUUCGUAGCGUAGCAUGCAUGCACUGCAUAAGGAAGGGACUUCUCACAGUAAUGAUGACAGCGCCCGAGGCGGGCCCGACUGGCCUUUCAACGGCAGGACCGAGGUGCCUGUAAAGGGCCUUGACGAGGGGCCUGUCAAAAGCGGCCAGCUGCCAUGCGAAUGCAGAUGGCCGAUGUACCUGUUCCUUCCACGCACGCCAGGCACUCAUCCGCUCCCGACCCCUCCUUACCCUCCCUCACAGGAGUCCAAUCCUCAGCUUGCGGCUUAGGAGGCUUGGUGGGCUCGUGUGGGCUCUGCGGCCCAGGGCGAGGGGGCGAGGGCAAGCGCGAGGGUGCGACGGGAUUGCUCGGGGGGCUCCAUGCGGGCUGCCCUCAAGGACUGGCAGAAUUGUUAGCAACGAGAUGCUAGAGAAAUCAAGGCGACGGGGAGCCUGGAGGGGUUGGAUAGUGCGAGUGGGGCUCACGUUACCGGGCGGUACGUGCGCGCGUGGCGGUCAGCAGGCCGGGAGGUGCGGCAUGUUGUUGUGGAGGUGACGCAGAAGGAGCGCAGUACCCUGAUUCGGCGCAGCAGGUCCGCUCGGUCGGUGCAGUAGUGGCACCAUACCUGACGUCAGUCGGGUGCGCAAUGCGUAGAGAGCAAGUGUCGGCUUUUGAAGCGCUCAGAGUCAGAGGGAAGGGGCUGCGGCCGCGAUGGAAGGGCGGAGCAGGCAUGUUGUGCCCGGCACCUAAGUUUGCGGUGCAGCUAUGACAGACGCUAGUCAAAUUGCUCUCAAGCGCCUCCGGACUCAAAGGAGUUAGUGGGGUUGCUCGCACACAUGCGGGGAGCUCCGUCGUGGGGCUCCAUGCGGGCUGCCCUCAAGUGCUCGCAGAAUUGCAUGUAGGGGCCAUAGCCAGAACGCUGUUGCACUUAUUUGUCACUUUUGAUGUACAAUGACAUACAUAAGUUCGUUUCGGGACAAGUAGCUCGACGACGAUCGACGUGACCUACCGAAUAUCGACGUACCACCAUAGCUUUUGCCCAACGUUAACCCUCAUAACAUUUUGUCUCUAUAGUGGAUGCCGACACUGGCCGUUUUGGCACGCGGCGACCCCGCGUUUGAACGCCCAGCUCGCAUUGAACGUCGGACCUCGCUGGCGCGUCUGCAGCGGCGCUCUUUCACUGCAGCCCUGGUCGUGAGGAUGUUUGGCGACUGAGCGGCCACUGGAGCGCUUGCCCGGAGGUCGCGGCCGGUGUGUGCAAGCGUCUGGCCUCCUUGCGUCCCGUGUGUCCGGGUAAGCACGCGCCAGGUGUGCUCGGGCCCCUGGUCACUUCAAUCGGGGUGUUUACAGUUUACGCAUGCAAACCACUAGCAACGUGUGUCAUAGUGUGCACUAGUUGCCAUUGCGUGAAAGGGUUGCGCCAGCCCUUGCCAGCCCUUGCGUAUUGGGCGUGUGUGUGCUGGUGUGCUUGGCUGCGUCCUCCGCCAUGUCGUUGCGCCCCCAGCAGUGCCCGCGCCCCUGUCACCUGUCCGCCAUGCCUCGGCGUUGCAGUGCCACGUCUAGCCGUGUCGUUUGAGGGUCUGAUUAAACGGCACAGGCUGUCGCAAUGCCCGAGUGUGCACUUUCGGAUGGAGGUGGCACGUUGUUCCGAUGACCCCUGAGGUUCUAUGGCUUAAUGGAUAAAGCGCCGGUCUACGGAACCGGAGAUUCCAGGUUCGAUCCCUGGUAGAAUCGUGCGGCUGCUAGCCAGUCUGCCUCAUGCGCCCCCCUGUCUGCUUCUAUAGCUCAGCCGGUAGAGCGUGCGGCUGUUACACCAUUUCGAGCACUGAUGCUCGGUGUCUCUGCCACCGCAAGGUCGACGGUUCAAGCCCGUCUGGAAGCGAAGUCUACCCCCCUAUGCAUAAAGGGAAUGGGGGCUGCCUUUUGUCUGUUGCGGGGCAUGGGAACGUGCCCCGUACUGUGAACGCCGGCGCUCAGGGGCGAGGCUGUACAGGGGGUCGUGUGGUUGCAUGCUGGCAGUUGCAAGAUGGCAGUGCGGGGCAGCGCGUGCAGUGGUACACGCUAAUGCUACAGGUGGCAUUACCCACCAUCCAUGAGGCAUGUGCUGUCAUACUACGGCUCCUCUGAUGCGUUGCUUACUCCCUGAUAUUGCUCCGUCGCCGCUGUGUGUGUCCUGUGUGUGCCCGUCCACAGGCCCCCUGGUGUGCUGCUGCUGCUGCACUGCCUCCUGACGGUCCCUCAGCCUGCCCACCUCGCCCACACCCAAGCCACUGGCUGCCCUUGGCACCGGUACGUUGCUGGCGUGCUGUUCUGCGUCCGCUUCUGAGUGAAAUGGGCUGUGUCCGCCAAGUUGGUGGGUCCCUGAGGUGCCACAUCUUGAAGCCGUGGUUCGCUAUAGUCUAGGCGGUCAGGAUACAGGAUUCUCAUGUGGGACCCGCACCAGGGCCCAGUGGCAUGCUCCUGAGACCCGGGUUCGAGUCCCGGUAGCGAAAGCUCACACACACGACAGCUCAGCUCAAUGCUGAGGAUGAGGGGUCGUCAUCGUAUAGUGGUUAGUAUCCCCGCCUGUCACUUCUCUGCCCGCGGGAGGCCGGGGUUCGAUUCCCCGUGACGGCGUGAGCCUUUUGGCCCCCGCCGCCUGCGCGGGCAGCGUGGCGCCACUCCACGGUGCGGGUAGCCGUACAGAGAGGGGGCUUUGGCGGGUCAGGCGGAGGGGGGAGGAUGGCGGGCUGUAUGUAUGUGGGGGUGUGCUGUGCUUGAAAGCAUGCUCAGGUUUAUGUUUUUGCACUUGCACGCUGCAUACGCACAUGCGGGCAGGCCUGUGCCGGCGUGAAACGCUGCUAGCGGGCGGGCUUUUGGAGGCCGCCACACUGCGGGCUUGAACACAUGCAGCAGGGGGCCUGUGGUGUGUGCUGUGGCCCACCCUGCAUCCUCCGGUUGAUGGCGAGGUGGCCGAGCGGUCUAAGGCGCUAGUUUCAGGCACUAGCUGGUUCAUCCGGCGGAAGCUACUAGUCCGAAAGGGCGUGAGUUCAAAUCUCACCCUCGUCAGGCCUUUUGGGCCCUUCGGAAGGCACAAUAGCAUGCACGGGCGGUUACGGCACGCGGUUACGGUGGGCUGCGCGUUGUUACAGGCACUCUUGGAACAGGCCGGCGCGGGCCUGCCCCAGAGGGCGCAAACAGAGUGGGGUAGGGCAGGGCGGGGUAGGUGGAGUGUGGUGACGAUAAUGCAAGCAAAGCAGGCGUGGUGGCAAUGGGAAUCGUUUUUGUGGGGCGUACGUGGCAGGGGGGGGGCGUCCUGCAAGCUAUGUAGUGCCUGCGAUCCCCAAUUCCCCAUGCAUGUGGCCCGGCGCUGCUUCCCUGCCAAGCAUGUUUAAGUGUGCUGACACUCCCUGCCCUGCCCCGCCCCGGCGCUCUUUCACUGCAGCCCUGGUCGUGAGGAUGUUUGGCGACUGAGCGGCCACUGGAGCGCUUGCCCGGAGGUCGCGGCCGGUGUGUGCAAGCGUCUGGCCUCCUUGCGUCUCGUGUGUCCGGGUAAGCACGCGCCAGGUGUGCUCGGGCCCCUGGUCACUUCAAUCGGGGUGUUUACAGUUUACGCAUGCAAACCACUAGCAACGUGUGUCAUAGUGUGCACUAGUUGCCUUUGCGUGAAAGGGUUGCGCCAGCCCUUGCCAGCCCUUGCGUAUUGGGCGUGUGUGUGCUGGUGUGCUUGGCUGCGUCCUCCGCCAUGUCGUUGCGCCCCCAGCAGUGCCUGCGCCCCUGUCACCUGUCCGCCAUGCCUCGGGGUUGCAGUGCCACGUCUAGCCGUGUCGUUUGAGGGUCUGAUUAAGCGGCACAGGCUGUCGCAAUGCCCGAGUGUGCACUUUCGGAUGAAGGUGGCACGUUGUUCCGAUGACCCCAGAGGUUCUAUGGCUUAAUGGAUAAAGCGCCGGUCUACGGAACCGGAGAUUCCAGGUUCGAUCCCUGGUAGAAUCGUGCGGCUGCUAGCCAGUCUGCCUCAUGCGCCCCCCUGUCUGCUUCUAUAGCUCAGCCGGUAGAGCGUGCGGCUGUUACACCAUUUCGAGCACUGAUGCUCGGUGGCUUUGCCACCGCAAGGUCGACGGUUCAAGCCCGUCUGGAAGCGAAGUCUACCCCCCUAUGCAUAAAGGGAAUGGGGGCUGCCUUUUGUCUGUUGCGGGGCAUGGGAACGUGCCCCGUACUGUGAACGCCGGCGCUCAGGGGCGAGGCUGUACAGGGGGUCGUGUGGUUGCAUGCUGGCAGUUGCAAGAUGGCAGUGCGGGGCAGCGCGUGCAGUGGUACACGCUAAUGCUACAGGUGGCAUUACCCACCAUCCAUGAGGCAUGUGCUGUCAUACUACGGCUCCUCUGAUGCGUUGCUUACUCCCUGAUAUUGCUCCGUCGCCGCUGUGUGUGUCCUGUGUGUGCCCGUCCACAGGCCCCCUGGUGUGCUGCUGCUGCUGCACUGCCUCCUGACGGUCCCUCAGCCUGCCCACCUCGCCCACACCCAAGCCACUGGCUGCCCUUGGCACCGGUACGUUGCUGGCGUGCUGUUCUGCGUCUGCUUCUGAGUGAAAUGGGCUGUGUCCGCCAAGUUGGUGGGUCCCUGAGAUGCCACAUCUUGGAGCCGUGGUUCGCUAUAGUCUAGGCGGUCAGGAUACAGGAUUCUCAUGUGGGACCCGCACCAGGGCCCAGUGACAUGCUCCUGAGACCCGGGUUCGAGUCCCGGUAGCGAAAGCUCACACACACGACAGCUCAGCUCAAUGCUGAGGAUGAGGGGUCGUCAUCGUAUAGUGGUUAGUAUCCCCGCCUGUCACUUCUCAGCCCGCGGGAGGCCGGGGUUCGAUUCCCCGUGACGGCGUGAGCCUUUUGGCCCCCGCCGCCUGCGCGGGCAGCGUGGCGCCACUUCACGGUGCGGGUAGCCGUGCAGGGAGGGGGCUUUGGCGGGUCAGGCGGACGUUUGUCACAGGGGAGGAUGGCGGGCUGUAUGUAUGUGGGGGUGUGCUGUGCUUGAAAGCAUGCUCAGGUUUAUGUUUUUGCACUUGCACGCUGCAUACGCACAAUGCGGGCAGGCCUGUGCCGGCGUGAAACGCUGCCAGCGGGCGGGCUUGUUGGAGGCCGCCACACUGCGGGCUUGCACACAUGCAGCAGGGGGCCGGUGGUGUGUGCUGUGGUCUGCUUGCAUCCUCCUGUUGAUGGCGAGGUGGCCGAGCGGUCUAAGGCGCUAGUUUCAGGCACUAGCUGGUUCAUCCGGCGGAAGCUACUAGUCCGAAAGGGCGUGAGUUCAAAUCUCACCCUCGUCAGGUCUUUUGGGCCCUUUGGAAGGCACAAUAGCAUGCACGAGCGGUUACGGCACGCGGUUACGGUGGGCUGCGCGUUGUCAAAGGCCCUCUUGGAACAGGCCGGCGCGGGCCUGCCCCAGGGGGCGCAAACAGAGUGGGGUAGGGCAGGGCGGGGUAGGUGGAGUGUGGUGACGAUAAUGCAAGCAAUGCAGGCGUGGUGGCAAUGGGAGCCGUUUUUGUGGGGCGUACGUGGCAGGGGGGGGGGCGUGCAAGCUAUGUAGUGCCUGCGAUCCCCAAUUCCCCAUGCAUGUGGCCCGGAGCUGCUUCCCUGCAAAGCAUGUUUGAGUGUGCUGACACUCCCUGCCCUGCCCCGCCCCGGCGCUCUUUCACUGCAGCCCUGGUCGUGAGGAUGUUUGGCGACUGAGUGGCCACUGGAGCGCUUGCCCGGAGGUCGCGGCCGGUGUGUGCAAGCGUCUGGCCUCCUUGCGUCCCGUGUGUCCGGGUAAGCACGCGCCAGGUGUGUUCGGGCCCCUGGUCACUUCAAUCGGGGUGUUUACAGUUUACGCAUGCAAAGCAGUAGCAACGUGUGUCAUAGUGUGCACUAGUUGCCAUUACGUGUAAGGGUUGCGCCAGCCCUUGCCAGCCCUUGCGUAUUGGGCGUGUGUGUGCUGGUGUGCUUGGCUGCGUCCUCCGCCAUGUCGUUGCGCCCCCAGCGGUGCCCGCGCCCCUGCCACCUGUCCGCCAUGCCUCGGGGUUGCAGUGCCACGCCUAGCCGUGUCGUUUGAGGGUCUGAUUAAGCGGCACAGGCUGUCGCAAUGCCCGAGUGUGCACUUUCGGAUGGAGGUGGCACGUUGUUCCGAUGACCCCAGAGGUUCUAUGGCUUAAUGGAUAAAGCGCCGGUCUACGGAACCGGAGAUUCCAGGUUCGAUCCCUGGUAGAAUCGUGCGGCUGCUAGCCAGUCUGCCUCAUGCGCCCCCCUGUCUGCUUCUAUAGCUCAGCCGGUAGAGCGUGCGGCUGUUACACCAUUUCGAGCACUGAUGCUCGGUGUCUUUGCCACCGCAAGGUCGACGGUUCAAGCCCGUCUGGAAGCGAAGUCUACCCCCCUAUGCAUAAAGGGAAUGGGGGCUGCCUUUUGUCUGUUGCGGGGCAUGGGAACGUGCCCCGUACUGUGAACGCCGGCGCUCAGGGGCGAGGCUGUACAGGGGGUCGUGUGGUUGCAUGCUGGCAGUUGCAAGAUGGCAGUGCGGGGCAGCGCGUGCAGUGGUACACGCUAAUGCUACAGGUGGCAUUACCCACCAUCCAUGAGGCAUGUGCUGUCAUACUACGGCUCCUCUGAUGCGUUGCUUACUCCCUGAUAUUGCUCCGUCGCCGCUGUGUGUGUCCUGUGUGUGCCCGUCCACAGGCCCCCUGGUGUGCUGCUGCUGCUGCACUGCCUCCUGACGGUCCCUCUGCCUGCCCACCUCGCCCACACCCAAGCCACUGGCUGCCCUUGGCACCGGUACGUUGCUGGCGUGCUGUUCUGCGUCUGCUUCUGAGUGAAAUGGGCUGUGUCCGCCAAGUUGGUGGGUCCCUGAGAUGCCACAUCUUGGAGCCGUGGUUCGCUAUAGUCUAGGCGGUCAGGAUACAGGAUUCUCAUGUGGGACCCGCACCAGGGCCCAGUGGCAUGCUCCUGAGACCCGGGUUCGAGUCCCGGUAGCGAAAGCUCACACACACGACAGCUCAGCUCAAUGCUGAGGAUGAGGGGUCGUCAUCGUAUAGUGGUUAGUAUCCCCGCCUGUCACUUCUCAGCCCGCGGGAGGCCGGGGUUCGAUUCCCCGUGACGGCGUGAGCCUUUUGGCCCCCGCCGCCUGCGCGGGCAGCGUGGCGCCACUCCACGGUGCGGGUAGCCGUGCAGGGAGGGGGCUUUGGCGGGUCAGGCGGACGUUUGUCACAGGGGAGGAUGGCGGGCUGUAUGUAUGUGGGGGUGUGCUGUGCUUGAAAGCAUGCUCAGGUUUAUGUUUUUGCACUUGCACGCUGCAUACGCACAAUGCGGGCAGGCCUGUGCCGGCGUGAAACGCUGCCAGCGGGCGGGCUUGUUGGAGGCCGCCACACUGCGGGCUUGCACACAUGCAGCAGGGGGCCGGUGGUGUGUGCUGUGGUCUGCUUGCAUCCUCCUGUUGAUGGCGAGGUGGCCGAGCGGUCUAAGGCGCUAGUUUCAGGCACUAGCUGGUUCAUCCGGCGGAAGCUACUAGUCCGAAAGGGCGUGAGUUCAAAUCUCACCCUCGUCAGGUCUUUUGGGCCCUUUGGAAGGCACAAUAGCAUGCACGAGCGGUUACGGCACGCGGUUACGGUGGGCUGCGCGUUGUCAAAGGCCCUCUUGGAACAGGCCGGCGCGGGCCUGCCCCAGGGGGCGCAAACAGAGUGGGGUAGGGCAGGGCGGGGUAGGUGGAGUGUGGUGACAAUAAUGCAAGCAAUGCAGGCGUGGUGGCAAUGGGAGCCGUUUUUGUGGGGCGUACGUGGCAGGGGGGGGGGGCGUGCAAGCUAUGUAGUGCCUGCGAUCCCCAAUUCCCCAUGCAUGUGGCCCGGAGCUGCUUCCCUGCAAAGCAUGUUUGAGUGUGCUGACACUCCCUGCCCUGCCCCGCCCCGGCGCUCUUUCACUGCAGCCCUGGUCGUGAGGAUGUUUGGCGACUGAGUGGCCACUGGAGCGCUUGCCCGGAGGUCGCGGCCGGUGUGUGCAAGCGUCUGGCCUCCUUGCGUCCCGUGUGUCCGGGUAAGCACGCGCCAGGUGUGUUCGGGCCCCUGGUCACUUCAAUCGGGGUGUUUACAGUUUACGCAUGCAAAGCAGUAGCAACGUGUGUCAUAGUGUGCACUAGUUGCCAUUACGUGUAAGGGUUGCGCCAGCCCUUGCCAGCCCUUGCGUAUUGGGCGUGUGUGUGCUGGUGUGCUUGGCUGCGUCCUCCGCCAUGUCGUUGCGCCCCCAGCGGUGCCCGCGCCCCUGCCACCUGUCCGCCAUGCCUCGGGGUUGCAGUGCCACGCCUAGCCGUGUCGUUUGAGGGUCUGAUUAAGCGGAACAGGCUGUCGCAAUGCCCGAGUGUGCACUUUCGGAGGGAGGUGGCACGUUGUUCCGAUGACCCCAGAGGUUCUAUGGCUUAAUGGAUAAAGCGCCGGUCUACGGAACCGGAGAUUCCAGGUUCGAUCCCUGGUAGAAUCGUGCGGCUGCUAGCCAGUCUGCCCUAUGCGGCCCCCUGUCUGCUUCUAUAGCUCAGCCGGUAGAGCGUGCGGCUGUUACACCAUUUCGAGCACUGAUGCUCGGUGUCUCUGCCACCGCAAGGUCGACGGUUCAAGCCCGUCUGGAAGCGACGUGCAUCCCCCUAUGCAUAAAGGGAAUGGGGGCUGCCUUUUGUCUGUUGCGGGGCGUGGGAACGUGCCCCGUACUGUGAAGGCCGGCACUCAGGGGCGAGGCUGUACAGGGGGUCGUGUGGUUGCAUGCUGGCAGUUGCAAGAUGGCAGUGCGGGGCAGCGCGUGCAGUGGUGCACGCUAAUGCUAGAUGUGGCAUUACCCACCAUCCAUGAGGCAUGUGCUGUCAUACUACGGCUCCUCUGAUGCGUCGCUUACUCCCUGACAUUGCUCCGUCGCUUCUGUGUGUGUCCUGUGUGUGCCCGUCCACAGGCCCCCUGGUGUGCUGCUGCUGCUGCACUGCCUCCUGACGGUCCCUCAGCCUGCCCACCUCGCCCACACCCAAGCCACUGGCUGCCCUUGGCACCGGUACGUUGCUGGCGUGCUGUUCUGCGUCUGCUUUUGAGUGAAAUGGGCUGUGUCUGCCAAGUUGGUGGGUCCCUGAGGUGCCACAUCUUGGAGCCGUGGUUCGCUAUAGUCUAGGCGGUCAGGAUACAGGAUUCUCAUGUGGGACCCGCACCGGGGCCCAGUGGCAUGCUCCUGAGACCCGGGUUCGAGUCCCGGUAGCGAAAGCUCACACACACGACAGCUCAGCGCAAUGCUGAGGAUGAGGGGUCGUCAUCGUAUAGUGGUUAGUAUCCCCGCCUGUCACUUCUCUGCCCGCGGGAGGCCGGGGUUCGAUUCCCCGUGACGGCGUGAGCCUUUUGGCCCCCGCCGCCUGCGCGGGCAGCGUGGCGCCACUCCACGGUGCGGGUAGCCGUGCAGGGAGGGGGCUUUGGCGGGUCAGGCGGACGUUUGUCACAGGGGAGGAUGGCGGGCUGUAUGUAUGUGGGGGUGUGCUGUGCUUGAAAGCAUGCUCAGGUUUAUGUUUUUGCACUUGCACGCUGCAUACGCACAAUGCGGGCAGGCCUGUGCCGGCGUGAAACGCUGCCAGCGGGCGGGCUUGUUGGAGGCCGCCACACUGCGGGCUUGCACACAUGCAGCAGGGGGCCGGUGGUGUGUGCUGUGGUCUGCUUGCAUCCUCCUGUUGAUGGCGAGGUGGCCGAGCGGUCUAAGGCGCUAGUUUCAGGCACUAGCUGGUUCAUCCGGCGGAAGCUACUAGUCCGAAAGGGCGUGAGUUCAAAUCUCACCCUCGUCAGGUCUUUUGGGCCCUUUGGAAGGCACAAUAGCAUGCACGAGCGGUUACGGCACGCGGUUACGGUGGGCUGCGCGUUGUCAAAGGCCCUCUUGGAACAGGCCGGCGCGGGCCUGCCCCAGGGGGCGCAAACAGAGUGGGGUAGGGCAGGGCGGGGUAGGUGGAGUGUGGUGACGAUAAUGCAAGCAAUGCAGGCGUGGUGGCAAUGGGAGCCGUUUUUGUGGGGCGUACGUGGCAGGGGGGGGGCGUGCAAGCUAUGUAGUGCCUGCGAUCCCCAAUUCCCCAUGCAUGUGGCCCGGAGCUGCUUCCCUGCAAAGCAUGUUUGAGUGUGCUGACACUCCCUGCCCUGCCCCGCCCCGGCGCUCUUUCACUGCAGCCCUGGUCGUGAGGAUGUUUGGCGACUGAGUGGCCACUGGAGCGCUUGCCCGGAGGUCGCGGCCGGUGUGUGCAAGCGUCUGGCCUCCUUGCGUCCCGUGUGUCCGGGUAAGCACGCGCCAGGUGUGUUCGGGCCCCUGGUCACUUCAAUCGGGGUGUUUACAGUUUACGCAUGCAAAGCAGUAGCAACGUGUGUCAUAGUGUGCACUAGUUGCCAUUACGUGUAAGGGUUGCGCCAGCCCUUGCCAGCCCUUGCGUAUUGGGCGUGUGUGUGCUGGUGUGCUUGGCUGCGUCCUCCGCCAUGUCGUUGCGCCCCCAGCGGUGCCCGCGCCCCUGCCACCUGUCCGCCAUGCCUCGGGGUUGCAGUGCCACGCCUAGCCGUGUCGUUUGAGGGUCUGAUUAAGCGGAACAGGCUGUCGCAAUGCCCGAGUGUGCACUUUCGGAGGGAGGUGGCACGUUGUUCCGAUGACCCCAGAGGUUCUAUGGCUUAAUGGAUAAAGCGCCGGUCUACGGAACCGGAGAUUCCAGGUUCGAUCCCUGGUAGAAUCGUGCGGCUGCUAGCCAGUCUGCCCUAUGCGGCCCCCUGUCUGCUUCUAUAGCUCAGCCGGUAGAGCGUGCGGCUGUUACACCAUUUCGAGCACUGAUGCUCGGUGUCUCUGCCACCGCAAGGUCGACGGUUCAAGCCCGUCUGGAAGCGACGUGCAUCCCCCUAUGCAUAAAGGGAAUGGGGGCUGCCUUUUGUCUGUUGCGGGGCGUGGGAACGUGCCCCGUACUGUGAAGGCCGGCGCUCAGGGGCGAGGCUGUACAGGGGGUCGUGUGGUUGCAUGCUGGCAGUUGCAAGAUGGCAGUGCGGGGCAGCGCGUGCAGUGGUGCACGCUAAUGCUAGAUGUGGCAUUACCCACCAUCCAUGAGGCAUGUGCUGUCAUACUACGGCUCCUCUGAUGCGUCGCUUACUCCCUGACAUUGCUCCGUCGCUUCUGUGUGUGUCCUGUGUGUGCCCGUCCACAGGCCCCCUGGUGUGCUGCUGCUGCUGCACUGCCUCCUGACGGUCCCUCAGCCUACCCACCUCGCCCACACCCAAGCCACUGGCUGCCCUUGGCACCGGUACGUUGCUGGCGUGCUGUUCUGCGUCUGCUUUUGAGUGAAAUGGGCUGUGUCUGCCAAGUUGGUGGGUCCCUGAGGUGCCACAUCUUGGAGCCGUGGUUCGCUAUAGUCUAGGCGGUCAGGAUACAGGAUUCUCAUGUGGGACCCGCACCGGGGCCCAGUGGCAUGCUCCUGAGACCCGGGUUCGAGUCCCGGUAGCGAAAGCUCACACACACGACAGCUCAGCGCAAUGCUGAGGAUGAGGGGUCGUCAUCGUAUAGUGGUUAGUAUCCCCGCCUGUCACUUCUCUGCCCGCGGGAGGCCGGGGUUCGAUUCCCCGUGACGGCGUGAGCCUUUUGGCCCCGCCGCCUGCGCGGGCAGCGUGGCGCCACUCCACGGUGCGGGUAGCCGUGCAGGGAGGGGGCUUUGGCGGGUCAGGCGGACGUUUGUCACAGGGGAGGAUGGCGGGCUGUAUGUAUGUGGGGGUGUGCUGUGCUUGAAAGCAUGCUCAGGUUUAUGUUUUUGCACUUGCACGCUGCAUACGCACAAUGCGGGCAGGCCUGUGCCGGCGUGAAACGCUGCCAGCGGGCGGGCUUGUUGGAGGCCGCCACACUGCGGGCUUGCACACAUGCAGCAGGGGGCCGGUGGUGUGUGCUGUGGUCUGCUUGCAUCCUCCUGUUGAUGGCGAGGUGGCCGAGCGGUCUAAGGCGCUAGUUUCAGGCACUAGCUGGUUCAUCCGGCGGAAGCUACUAGUCCGAAAGGGCGUGAGUUCAAAUCUCACCCUCGUCAGGUCUUUUGGGCCCUUUGGAAGGCACAAUAGCAUGCACGAGCGGUUACGGCACGCGGUUACGGUGGGCUGCGCGUUGUCAAAGGCCCUCUUGGAACAGGCCGGCGCGGGCCUGCCCCAGGGGGCGCAAACAGAGUGGGGUAGGGCAGGGCGGGGUAGGUGGAGUGUGGUGACGAUAAUGCAAGCAAUGCAGGCGUGGUGGCAAUGGGAGCCGUUUUUGUGGGGCGUACGUGGCAGGGGGGGGGGCGUGCAAGCUAUGUAGUGCCUGCGAUCCCCAAUUCCCCAUGCAUGUGGCCCGGCGCUGCUUCCCUGCAAAGCAUGUUUAAGUGUGCUGACACUCCCUGCCCUGCCCCGCCCCGGCGCUCUUUCACUGCAGCCCUGGUCGUGAGGAUGUUUGGCGACUGAGUGGCCACUGGAGCGCUUGCCCGGAGGUCGCGGCCGGUGUGUGCAAGCGUCUGGCCUCCUUGCGUCCCGUGUGUCCGGGUAAGCACGCGCCAGGUGUGUUCGGGCCCCUGGUCACUUCAAUCGGGGUGUUUACAGUUUACGCAUGCAAAGCAGUAGCAACGUGUGUCAUAGUGUGCACUAGUUGCCAUUACGUGUAAGGGUUGCGCCAGCCCUUGCCAGCCCUUGCGUAUUGGGCGUGUGUGUGCUGGUGUGCUUGGCUGCGUCCUCCGCCAUGUCGUUGCGCCCCCAGCGGUGCCCGCGCCCCUGCCACCUGUCCGCCAUGCCUCGGGGUUGCAGUGCCACGCCUAGCCGUGUCGUUUGAGGGUCUGAUUAAGCGGAACAGGCUGUGGCAUUGCCCGAGUGUGCACUUUCGGAGGGAGGUGGCACGUUGUUCCGAUGACCCCAGAGGUUCUAUGGCUUAAUGGAUAAAGCGCCGGUCUACGGAACCGGAGAUUCCAGGUUCGAUCCCUGGUAGAAUCGUGCGGCUGCUAGCCAGUCUGCCCUAUGCGGCCCCCUGUCUGCUUCUAUAGCUCAGCCGGUAGAGCGUGCGGCUGUUACACCAUUUCGAGCACUGAUGCUCGGUGUCUCUGCCACCGCAAGGUCGACGGUUCAAGCCCGUCUGGAAGCGACGUGCAUCCCCCUAUGCAUAAAGGGAAUGGGGGCUGCCUUUUGUCUGUUGCGGGGCGUGGGAACGUGCCCCGUACUGAGAAGGCCGGCGCUCAGGGGCGAGGCUGUACAGGGGGUCGUGUGGUUGCAUGCUGGCAGUUGCAAGAUGGCAGUGCGGGGCAGCGCGUGCAGUGGUGCACGCUAAUGCUAGAUGUGGCAUUACCCACCAUCCAUGAGGCAUGUGCUGUCAUACUACGGCUCCUCUGAUGCGUCGCUUACUCCCUGACAUUGCUCCGUCGCUUCUGUGUGUGUCCUGUGUGUGCCCGUCCACAGGCCCCCUGGUGUGCUGCUGCUGCUGCACUGCCUCCUGACCGGUCCCUCAGCCUACCCACCUCGCCCACACCCAAGCCACUGGCUGCCCUUGGCACCGGUACGUUGCUGGCGUGCUGUUCUGCGUCUGCUUUUGAGUGAAAUGGGCUGUGUCCGCCAAGUUGGUGGGUCCCUGAGGUGCCACAUCUUGGAGCCGUGGUUCGCUAUAGUCUAGGCGGUCAGGAUACAGGAUUCUCAUGUGGGACCCGCACCGGGGCCCAGUGGCAUGCUCCUGAGACCCGGGUUCGAGUCCCGGUAGCGAAAGCUCACACACACGACAGCUCAGCGCAAUGCUGAGGAUGAGGGGUCGUCAUCGUAUAGUGGUUAGUAUCCCCGCCUGUCACUUCUCUGCCCGCGGGAGGCCGGGGUUCGAUUCCCCGUGACGGCGUGAGCCUUUUGGCCCCCGCCGCCUGCGCGGGCAGCGUGGCGCCACUCCACGGUGCGGGUCUCCGUGCAGGGAGGGGGCUUUGGCGGGUCAGGCGGACGUUUGUCACAGGGGAGGAUGGCGGGCUGUAUGUAUGUGGGGGUGUGCUGUGCNNNNNNNNNNNNNNNNNNNNNNNNNNNNNNNNNNNNNNNNNNNNNNNNNNNNNNNNNNNNNNNNNNNNNNNNNNNNNNNNNNNNNNNNNNNNNNNNNNNNGUGCAGGGAGGGGGCUUUGGCGGGUCAGGCGGACGUUUGUCACAGGGGAGGAUGGCGGGCUGUAUGUAUGUGGGGGUGUGCUGUGCUUGAAAGCAUGCUCAGGUUUAUGUUUUUGCACUUGCACGCUGCAUACGCACAAUGCGGGCAGGCCUGUGCCGGCGUGAAACGCUGCCAGCGGGCGGGCUUGUUGGAGGCCGCCACACUGCGGGCUUGCACACAUGCAGCAGGGGGCCGGUGGUGUGUGCUGUGGUCGGCUUGCAUCCUCCUGUUGAUGGCGAGGUGGCCGAGCGGUCUAAGGCGCUAGUUUCAGGCACUAGCUGGUUCAUCCGGCGGAAGCUACUAGUCCGAAAGGGCGUGAGUUCAAAUCUCACCCUCGUCAGGUCUUUUGGGCCCUUUGGAAGGCACAAUAGCAUGCACGAGCGGUUACGGCACGCGGUUACGGUGGGCUGCGCGUUGUCAAAGGCCCUCUUGGAACAGGCCGGCGCGGGCCUGCCCCAGGGGGCGCAAACAGAGUGGGGUAGGGCAGGGCGGGGUAGGUGGAGUGUGGUGACGAUAAUGCAAGCAAUGCAGGCGUGGUGGCAAUGGGAGCCGUUUUUGUGGGGCGUACGUGGCAGGGGGGGGGGCGUCCUGCAAGCUAUGUAGUGCCUGCGAUCCCCAAUUCCCCAUGCAUGUGGCCCGGCGCUGCUUCCCUGCAAAGCAUGUUUAAGUGUGCUGACACUCCCUGCCCUGCCCCGCCCCGGCGCUCUUUCACUGCAGCCCUGGUCGUGAGGAUGUUUGGCGACUGAGCGGCCACUGGAGCGCUUGCCCGGAGGUCGCGGCUGGUGUGUGCAAGCGUCUGGCCUCCUUGCGUCCCGUGUGUCGGGGUAAGCACGCGCCAGGUGUGUUCGGGCCCCUGGUCACUUCAAUCGGGGUGUUUACAGUUUACGCAUGCAAAGCAGUAGCAACGUGUGUCAUAGUGUGCACUAGUUGCCAUUACGUGUAAGGGUUGCGCCAGCCCUUGCCAGCCCUUGCAUAUUGGGCGUGUGUGUGCUGGUGUGCUUGGCUGCGUCCUCCGCCAUGUCGUUGCGCCCCCAGCGGUGCCCGCGCCCCUGCCACCUGUCCGCCAUGCCUCGGGGUUGCAGUGCCACGCCUAGCCGUGUCGUUUGAGGGUCUGAUUAAGCGGAACAGGCUGUCGCAAUGCCCGAGUGUGCACUUUCGGAGGGAGGUGGCACGUUGUUCCGAUGACCCCAGAGGUUCUAUGGCUUAAUGGAUAAAGCGCCGGUCUACGGAACCGGAGAUUCCAGGUUCGAUCCCUGGUAGAAUCGUGCGGCUGCUAGCCAGUCUGCCCUAUGCGCCCCCCUGUCUGCUUCUAUAGCUCAGCCGGUAGAGCGUGCGGCUGUUACACCAUUUCGAGCACUGAUGCUCGGUGUCUCUGCCACCGCAAGGUCGACGGUUCAAGCCCGUCUGGAAGCGACGUGCAUCCCCCUAUGCAUAAAGGGAAUGGGGGCUGCCUUUUGUCUGUUGGGGGGCGUGGGAACGUGCCCCGUACUGUGAAGGCCGGCACUCAGGGGCGAGGCUGUACAGGGGGUCGUGUGGUUGCAUGCUGGCAGUUGCAAGAUGGCAGUGCGGGGCAGCGCGUGCAGUGGUGCACGCUAAUGCUAGAUGUGGCAUUACCCACCAUCCAUGAGGCAUGUGCUGUCAUACUACGGCUCCUCUGAUGCGUCGCUUACUCCCUGACAUUGCUCCGUCGCUUCUGUGUGUGUCCUGUGUGUGCCCGUCCACAGGCCCCCUGGUGUGCUGCUGCUGCUGCACUGCCUCCUGACCGGUCCCUCAGCCUACCCACCUCGCCCACACCCAAGCCACUGGCUGCCCUUGGCACCGGUACGUUGCUGGCGUGCUGUUCUGCGUCUGCUUCUGAGUGAAAUGGGCUGUGUCCGCCAAGUUGGUGGGUCCCUGAGGUGCCACAUCUUGGAGCCGUGGUUCGCUAUAGUCUAGGCGGUCAGGAUACAGGAUUCUCAUGUGGGACCCGCACCGGGGCCCAGUGGCAUGCUCCUGAGACCCGGGUUCGAGUCCCGGUAGCGAAAGCUCACACACACGACAGCUCAGCGCAAUGCUGAGGAUGAGGGGUCGUCAUCGUAUAGUGGUUAGUAUCCCCGCCUGUCACUUCUCUGCCCGCGGGAGGCCGGGGUUCGAUUCCCCGUGACGGCGUGAGCCUUUUGGCCCCCGCCGCCUGCGCGGGCAGCGUGGCGCCAUUCCACGGUGCGGGUAGCCGUGCAGGGAGGGGGCUUUGGCGGGUCAGGCGGACGUUUGUCAUGGGGGAGGAUGGCGGGCUGUAUGUAUGUGGGGGUGUGCUGUGCUUGAAAGCAUGCUCAGGUUUAUGUUUUUGCACUUGCACGCUGCAUACGCACAUGCGGGCAGGCCUGUGCCGGCGUGAAACGCUGCCAGCGGGCGGGCUUGUUGGAGGCCGCCACACUGCGGGCUUGCACACAUGCAGCAGGGGGCCGGUGGUGUGUGCUGUGGCCCAUCUUGCAUCCUCCUGUUGAUGGCGAGGUGGCCGAGCGGUCUAAGGCGCUAGUUUCAGGCACUAGCUGGUUCAUCCGGCGGAAGCUACUAGUCCGAAAGGGCGUGAGUUCAAAUCUCACCCUCGUCAGGCCUUUUGGGCCCCUCGCAAGGCACACUAGCAUGCACGAGCGGUCACGGCACGCAGUUACGGUACAGUGGGCUGCGCGUUGUUACAGGCACUCUUGGAACAGGCCGGCGCGGGCCUCUGGACAUCGAGUGGGGUAGGGCAGGGCGGGGCAGGUGGAGUGUGGUGACGAUAAUGCAAGCAAAGCAGGCGUGGUGGCAAUGGGAACCGUUUGUGUGGGGCGUACGUGGCAGGGGGGGCGUCCUGCAAGCUAUGUAGUGCCUGCGAUCCCCAUGCAUGUGGCCCGGCGCUGCUUCCCUGCAAAGCAUGUUUAAGUGUGCUGACACUCCGUGCCCUGCCCCGCCCCGUGCGUCACCCACACCACACCCACAGGUGGCAACGGAGUAGCAGUUGCUGGCGCUGCAGGAGGCAAGCCGCAGGCGGGCAUUUGCUGGGCCCUUUCUGGUGUCUGCUCCCCGGAGGAGCACUCGACUGGGAGCAUGUGUGUGCACGCAGGCCAGGUAGGAAGGAGCCUUGGUGAGGAGACAAGAGGGGUGACACUCUACACUGUAGAACUUUGCCCAGAAUCCGCUGAAGGCGGCGAAAUUGGUCGGGACUCUGGGCACAAACCAAUGGAGUGUACGAUAGACGUCGUGGCGUAGAUUUUGGCGGUGUCUGAAGACGCUCGUUUGCCCCCCAAGCAACAUUAUUUGGGCGGAGAUGCCGCGGGCCUGAGGGUAUCUACAAGAUACGUUGCGGGCCUGAGGGUAUCUACAAGAUAUGGGCACUGAUCAAUGUGAGGUGCUCAUCACAUCCCAGCACCGCUUUGUACUGCACGUGCGACAGCGUGUGCCUGUUUGGAUGCGCUCCAGUCCUUUGGGCGCGCACACUCAGCAUGAAGGGGUCCCAAAGACCGGGGUAUGUGUACCCCAUGCAUGGCGGUUGUGCGCGCUUAUGCGUGUGGGAGACUGCUCGGCCUGUGGGUUGGUGCUGUGGGAGUGCUGCAGGUAACCGCUGGGCGUGUGAGGUACAGCACGGCAGCCCGCAUGGGUGCCGUGUUGGGUCUGACGUGCAUGGCAGCUUGUGUGGCAGCACUGUGCUGUCGACCUGUCGCGGGCUGCUGUGCGGUGUUUGGGACGUUGUGAUGACUGAUGACAGCUCCGUGAAGCAAUGCGGCCGGCAGCCAGGGAACGGCCUGCAGUGCUCGAGCCUCUAACACACGGCAGUGCCUGGACUCAUUCAACUCACCUUCUCAGAAGCCACUGCCGCCUGCCGGGGGCUGCAAUGGAGGCAUGGGGGACUCGGGGAACUGUGUUCCGAGUGCUGCCUGGCUGAGCCGGGCUCCAUCUGGGUAGCCCAGUGCGCAGCGGCUGCUUGCAGCCGUGCAGGGGAGGAGGAUGCCUGGUCACAGCUUGCUGCACCCUACGGGACCUUACCAACCUGCCUUACCACUGUCCCAUCGCACUACGCCACUACCACAGCGCAUGUAGCAAGGUGAUCAAUACAUAGGCAGCAAGCGCGUCAGGCAGACAGCGAGACGCGGCCGCACCCAUAAGAAAGAGCUGGAAAGAGAGCACUUGACAGAGCAGGUGUUGGCCACUUGGCCCGUUUGCGAUCAGGUCAUCAGGGGGAAAAAGUGGGGGGGGGGUCCCCGAGUGGUCGCACUGUGAAGCACGGGGGGCCCUGACGGGGCUGAAUCCCAGCAAGGGCCCAGGAGGCCAGGACAAAGCAGGCACCAGCGGGGCACCGCCGCAUGUCGACUCUUAGCAUAACCCCAAACACAAUGUCGUACCCGCGAAUGCUCUUCGCGCACAUCAGCCAAGGCGAGCAUCCGGGCGAGGGGCCAGAAACUGGGGGGACUGCAUGCGUGAGGGAUGCCGCGUGGGGUUGCCGGCUGUCGAAGUAUAAAUGCGGCCGAGAGCGCAGACGGUAAUUUCUCACUUAUUACAUAGCUUCCAUAUUACGAAACAGCAUAAGAAAACACGGGUCAACACUCUCGACCGACCAGUGCUUGACUAGAGUUGCCACGCGUCGACCUUCUUUGCUUUGCGCAUAUAUUUGUCGAGCUGCAUCACAAAAAUGUUACUUAAAACAUGUAACGGCCUCCAUGCGGCCGGACCCCGCAAGCGACGCGAAAUUGCAUGCGGCGCUGCGAAGGGCGCCAAGGGCGCCAAGCCCAAAACAGCAGGGAAAGGAUUUGGGUCGGGCACGCAAGCCACUUCGCCGGUGCCGCUAGCGAAACGGAAGGGAAUGGCGGUGCAGUGGCUGGACGACCUCGAGCCAAUCGUGUUGGAGCCCAACUCCGACAUCGGCCCCAACACCCGCGACAAAAUGUGAGGUCCCUCCCGCCCUGGAACCACAUUACGCGCGGGCCCAUGCAUUCGUCGCUUCCUGGGUUUCCUUCACUAUACAUGUUACACAUCCCUAGCUGCCGGCAAGCGUGGCCCUGCCCUGGUGCCCAGGCUCAACCGUGCAGGACCCCAGACUAGCUCGUGCUUCUCCUUUCCUUGCACUCUUGCAGUGCCAGUGCCUAGCCCACUAUACGUGGUCCACGCCUCUCAACGUGCUUGCUGUCUUUGGCUUCUCUCCAUCUUCCUACAUCCUAUCAGGCUGUACUAUAUGAACCUAACGGAGGAGCUGUGUGGUCGCACGCCCAAACUCCUGGACUGGGCCUGGGCCAAAGCCAUGGAGGAGCGGCAGCGUGAGGCCCUGGCCAGCCCCGUGCUGCUGCUACAGCCCGACAGCAGCAGUAGCAGCAACAACAAUGGCAGUAGCAGCAACAGCGGCAGUAGCAGCGGGUCUCAGGGGCAGCAAGGGCAGGGAGGCACUGCGGUGCAUCUGUUGGACGUGACGCAUGACGACUUCGCGAACCCGGCGCUGCUGGCGGCGGUGUGGCGGCAGCUGCAGCCAGAUGCCGUGGCACUGGACGUGCAGGUGGGUGUGGAGGGAGGUGUGAGGGAGGUGUGGAUAAGGAGCGAGGGGAGGGAGCGUGGGGAGGGGAGGGAGGGGAGGGAGGGGAGGGAGGGGAGGGAGGGGAACGGGGAGGGGAGAGAGGGGAGGGGGAAUGGGGAGUGAGGGUGGGGGCACUGCAGCAAGGGAGGCCGGGGAGGUGGAGGCACGUGGGUGGGCGUGUGUGUGGGUGAAGAGCGUGGAGCGUGGGUCGCUGCCCGAGCAUGCGGGUGCACGGGGUUUAACGCGCGGUGGGCGAAUCCGUGCGGGAGGAAGCCGUGCUUGGGUGCCUGUGAAGAGAGGGCUUGGGGCACAGGCUAUCGGCGGCUCAGUCAUUCUGCAGACGCGUAUACUCAGGUGCCCGGUGGUAGUGUGCGGGUCAGCUGCCCCUCCUGCUGCACAGCGCCACGUCAUUCCCCGCCCUCCCCACAGCCACUGCCACAACCGCCUGCCUCCUCUCCUCUCCUCCCACGCUCCCCUCGUCUGCCCUCCCACGCCCCCCUUUCGCCUCUCCUCCCCUCCCCUCUCGUGCUUCCUCCCUUGGGCUGGUACUUACUACCCGCGCCCUACCAACCCCGCGUUUCCUUAACAGCUGGGACCUUGUCGUCCGAGCAUGUACGGUAACUUCCUUCCUCCCUCCCUCCCCCUCCUCCCCCUGGCCUCAGGCGCCCUACAUCAAGUCCUUCACCCGUAUGGCCAAGGCCCUUCCGCCCGGUCUGAUGGACAAGCUCACUUCCGCGCCCCUGACCUCGCUUUCCGCGGCCCUCAACCAUGGCGACGAUUUUGAUCGGUGGGGACAGAGCGAGAGAGGGAGAGACGGGGGAGGGGGUGGCGGCUCCGGGGCAAGGGGACUCGAGAGGGGGCCAGGGAGGUAUCUGCACGAGCCCGAAGAAGUAGGUCCCAAAGGUCAAGGAAGCGUCGCCCGACCCAGCGGGGGCUGGGGCUCGAGGGGGAAGGGGGGUGGCGCGAGGAGAUGGUGUGCGGUCUGCAGCCGCCGGCGGGGUGGGGAGAACGGUAUUGCGGGCGUGUGCUUUGCCGGAAGGUUGUGAGGGCGCGGUGAGGCGUUCUUCUUCGACGUCGACCCUUGACGUGGGCGGUUGUGUGCCCACGUAGGCAGCCCAUUCCCCUCCACUGCCUCCUCCCGUUCCCACUACCGCUCCCGCCCCCGCUGCUGCCUGCCUCCGCCUCCUCAGGCUGCGCUGGCACCACGCCAUCCUGUCUGUGAGCAGCUCGGGUGGAUCACCCAUCGACUUGGACGAGGCGACCCUAGUCAACGUGUUCGCAAACAGGUGGGGUAGCGGGAAGGGCAUGGCGGGGUGGGGGGCUUGCAGGUGGUGUGGGGGUGGCGCGGGGGGUGAUGGUGAUGUGUGGCGGCUGGCAGUGACGGGGAUUGGCUGAUCAGCUGAUGGCGGCUCUGCGAUCUCCGGUGCUGUGCUGGCAGUGUGUUGCAACAGCCACGCUGCGCAGAGGCAGGGCUUGCGCAAUCUCACACGCGUGACUUCCCAAAUCCCAUCUCUCACACGCUCGCGUACUCACGCACUCACACAUUCACACACAUACACACACACUCACACACACACACACACACUCGCGCACUUACAAAUCAACACGUUCGCACGCCGCAGGGACCUGCACCUGAGUGAGCCGAUCGCGGCGGCGGCGCUGGCGGCGGCGGCGGGCCCUGGAUCCAACGUGAUGGUGCACGGGGUAGACGUGGAGGUGGGUGGGCUGGCGGCGGUUGGGCUAGCAGCUGAGGUGGGGUUGUAGAUACCAGCUGAAACUUAACCAAACCCAAUGGGGAGUGGGAGCAGCGCGAUGGGACUUGCUGCUGCUCAUGCUGCUCAUAUGGGUGAGCGGGGGGCGGUUGGGAGCAGGGAGGUCGGGAGCUACCCAGCUGCUGCUACAGCUACCACAUUACGGUAUCACCAACCCCUUGGCUGCUGACGGCUGACGGCUCUGUACUCUUUGCACUCGGGAUUCCCCCUCCCCCCGUCCAAACACGACCGGGAUUCCCCGUCCAAACAUGACCCCAUCCCACCGCACUCCCCGUACAAACACGACCCCAUCCCACCCCAAUCCCCCUCCAAACACGACUGCAUCCCACCCCAAUCCCCCUCCAAACACGACCGCAGGACGACGCCAUGCUCAGCGCCCUGGAUGAGGAUGAGUUCUGGAGCGACGCCGACACCGCCGGCUACCACAAGCGGCUGAUGGCGGCGGCGGAGCCACAGCUGCGCGCGGCCGUCAACACCUGGCUGCAGGUUGGGGUGGGGGUGGGGUGGGUGGGUAGGUUUAUCCCAGAACCCAAAGCAAGCCAGUGGGGUGGGGUGGGGUGUGGGUGGGGUGGGGCAUUGGGGCAGGUGUGGGUAUGGGUUAGCAAACGGGUUGGGGACUGGGGUGUUCGCCUUGCAAGGUGCCGUAUUUCCCAGUCCUUGCAGUUUGGAAGCCCUACCACGUACUGCAGAUGCGCGCCUUCCGUCGUCCCCUCCCAAAACGCACGUUCUGCCGUUGGGGCUGAUCCCUUUCGACCCCUUUGCCUCCUGCCCUUGCCCCUCCCCCCCUUUUGCAUUGGGUUUGGUUUAGUUUGGGGCUUUGGAUUGGUAUCUCCCACCGCCCUUGGUAACCCCAGCCGAUUCCCGUCCCCACCGCCCCUUCCACCCCGCCCCCGCCUCCCCCGCAUCCAGGGCAUUCCCUCUGGCACCACCGCCACCCUGCCCCGCCAGCGCUUCGUGCUCACGCGGCUGGAGGCGGCGCUCACCCCCGACCAGCAGCGGGCGUUCCAGGUGGGUGUGGGCGCGAGGGGGUGGCUGGGGGGCGAAGUGUGUGUGUGUGUGUGUGUGUGUGUGUGUGUGUGUGUGUGUGUGUGUGUGUGUGUGUGUGUGUGUGUGUGUGUGUGUGUGUGUGUGUGUGCGUGUGUGUGUGUGCGUGUGUGUGUGUGUGUGUAUGCGUGUCAGAAGGUUCGGGCAUGUGGUCGCCAUGACAUCUUGCGGCCUUUGAUCUUGCCGCCUGCCUCAUCACCCGGACGGUCGCCCGGUUCAAGCACUCACACACGGCCACAACGCUGCGCUGUGCGUCGGCGCCCUUCCCCCAGGCGGCCGACGUGGAGUGGCGGCGCGGCCACAAGGAGCCGCGGGUGCGCGAGCAGCAGGCGCUGCGGGAGCAGCAGGCGGCGCACAUGGCGGCCCGGAUUGCGGACGUGGCGGCGGGGCGGAUAGGCGGCCGCCGCUGCAGCCGCGUGCUGGCGGUGCUGGGGGGCGGGCACGCGGCGCGGGUGCGGGCGCUGCUGCAGGCGCAGCAGGCGCGGUAGAAUACGGGGGGCGCAGGUGUGGGGGUGCGAUGGGGGAGGGGUUGGACUAACGGGUUGGGUCGUUGGAGUGGAGCGGUAGCAGGGGUGGUGGCAGGCGCAGCGUUUAGGACGGACGAAAGGGCGUCGGCCGUGGGGUUCAGCCGUUCAGGACUUCGGGCCGGUGGCGGGUGGCAGAGCAUGCUUCAGACACGAAGGCAGGGGCAGGGGCAGGGGCAAGCACAGGUGGCUGCAAAGUGCCGUAGUAGGAAUUAAUAGCUACGAGCCUGCGACGCUGCGUGCGUAUCAGGUUUGCCUCAAUGGCCUGGGACAGGAACUCAGGAAGAUUCGGGACAGCGCCUGCUCAAAAGCCCAGGAGCCGGGCCGAGCUGAAGCACUGCGCCUUCUCGAAAGCCCGGAAAGCACAGCAGCAUUGGGUUGAGGCAAACCCAGCUCGGCCAACUGGCAGCUGCUGAGCUGACGUCUGUCGAGCAGGGGUGUAAGGGCGUGGAGCAGGAGGCCAGGAGCACCCCUGCCGUCGAGCGGUCCAGCCGUCCAAGUCAGUCAACCCAUAGCGUUCCGGUGCCGACUGUUUCAGGGCAUCUGCAUCUUCGGGCAGCGGCAAGAAGCGGGUGUGUUUUCACGCAGACCUCACGCCAUCAGCAGCAAGCGGAUGCACGCACUGCACCGCGCCCUCUUUGCCCUCGCCGGCCCAGCGCGCACACUGAUGUGCUCCCACUGCAGCCCGGCACCAGCGCUGCCGCCUGCCCGCACCCGGCACCCCACGUGUCCACACACACGGGCCAUCCACGCGCCAUUGAAUUCCUAGUAGGCUAGUACAAACAAGAGCAGAGGGUGGUGAGAAGCAUGAUCCCGAGUGUGGCGGCUAGUAUCCCGGCCCACAAAUCCCACAAGGCAUGUCAGGGCAAGAGUCGCAUAGUCACAAAGUGGGUUCGGGGUUACUUCACCGCCCACGCGCCAGCGCGUGCAUCCAGCCCCCUCCACAGCACUCAGUGGCAUCCCUGCGCCGCGCCUCGUGCGCGCGCGCCCCUUUCCUCCUCCUUUCCUAUUGCCUGACUCACAUGACGGUCCAUGCACGCCGCUUGGCGGCCCCCCCAUUUCCACAACACCUGUGCACCGCCGCCGCUGCUUUACACACCACCGGCGCAGGACCCGGGGCCGCGCCCCCACGUCUGUCAGGCCACGCUAUCCGCCUUUAAUAGCCGUCGUCCACCAGUCAGCCGCACUAUGCAUACGCCUACCUCGCCUCCACGCCUUGCUGCUGCCCGCUUGUGUCCUACUCUGCGACUGCUGCACACGCCCGCAGCAGCACUGCGACAGCACCGCUCAAGUGCCUCCGCCCCAGCCCACACCGUGUCUUGCAUUCCCUACCUGCCCAACCGCAACAGAGCCCCCACCGCACAUUGUCGCCGCCUCACCCCAGCUGCACACCGCCGGCCCCUCACCACGCCCGGUACCCGCCGCCGCCGCCGUUCCCUCCCUGCGAUCCGUACUGCCCAUAGCCGCCGGCGCCACCGGGGCCCGGCGGCCCGCCAAACGGCGGCGGCGGCGGCGGCAUACCUCCGUACCCGCCGGGGCCGCCGCCACCCGGCCCGCCGUACAUGCCUGGUGCCCCGCCGGGGCCGCCGCCGCCGUACACCUGUGUUGGCGGGUAGCCGCCACCCGGCGGGCCGUAGCCGCCGCCGCCACCAGGGUACGGUUGCCCGCCGUAUCCGCCGCCCUGGCUGCCUCCCGUGUAGCCACCCGGCUGCUGGGGCUGUGGGGGGUGGGUGUGAGGUGGGGUUGCGAGGUUUGGCGACGGGAACAAGGUGAGCGCCUCGGGAACAGGGAAAAGCGUGCAGUGCAGCAGGCGGAAGUGAGGCGUGAAAUGGAGUGCGGGGCGGAGGGUGAGUUGGCUGUCUUGAGUUUCGACAGAAGGAAGAACAAGAAAAACACCGAGCGCACGGCAGCUGUCUUUUGCGUCAGAUGCGUCACGUGUUGCUUUGCGCUGCAGCACGCAGCGCGCCCGGGACCCGCCCCGCUCGCCCUGCACCGCCCUGCCGGCACCGCCGCACGCACCUGCAUCUGCACGCCGGUGCGCAUCUGCGUCAUCAGGGCGCGGGUGGGUUCAUUGUAGCCCAGCUGGUCGCGUGCCGCCGCCUCGCGCCGCUUGGCCCUGUGCGGCACAACCAUGGGGCGACGGGUGCGGUGGUGGGUGCGGUGGUGAUCGUGGCAGCGGACGGACGGCCACCCGUGUCCUUGCACCACAUGGAUGGACACGAGGACACAGGAGAAGGCAGGCAUCCACAGCACCCACCCCGCAUCCUCUACCCGCCCUACCUCGCAAGGCCUUCACCCACCAAACCCAUACCCCCGCCAUGCCCACAACCCCACCCCAUGGCCACGCUCCCCAUUGCGGCACUACCGUGCUGCUCACCCCACGCCCAACUCUCCCCCCCUUUGACAACACACGCAGCCCCCCCCCCCACGCCGCCCCCCCCCCCGCCGCCCACACACAUACUCACGGGUCCACGGGGUUCUUCUUGAACACCGCCAGCAUUCCGUCCACGGAGCCGUGCAGCCGCCCGCGGAAGUAGAAGCCGCGCGGGGUGACGUAGAAGGACUCGCGGUGCACCGAGGCCGCUAAGCAGAACACGAUCUGGGCGGCGGCGGCCUGCAAGAGGUGGGUGGCGGCGGGGUGGGAGGCGGGGUGGGAGGCGGGCUGGGAGGCGGGGUGGGAGGCGGGGCAACGGGGGCUGGGGGCGAGCUGGGGGGGGGAGGUGACCCGGUCGCCAAAACUUGCAGUCCUCCCCCCGUGAAUCCAUAAUCAUCGUCCGACCAAUUUAAACCCUCCCCCGCCCCACCCCCAGGAAGACGUAACUUGCUCCCCACAUACCACGCUACACAGGACGGAGGCCAGCGCCUGGGACCUAAGCGUGUGGGCCUCGGGCGUGCCACUCCCCACCACCACCACCACCACCGCCACCACCACCACCACCACCACCACCACCACCACCACCACCACCACCACCACCACCACCACCACCACCACCACCACCGCCACCACCACCACCACCACCACCACCACCACCACCACCACCACCACCACCACCACCACCACCACCACCACCACCACCACCACCACCACCACCACCACCACCACCACCACCACCACCACCACCACCACCACCACCACCACGCCGCACGCACCACGCCACACGCACCUCCUCCCUUCCUCUCCUCCCCCCUCCUUCCCCCUCCUUUCCCCCCACUCGCCCCGCCUCACCUUGUCCCUGAGCGCCAGGUAGUAGGGGUGCACCGUGGGGUUGGCGCGCUUCUCCGCGCGCACCCGCUCCUCCACCUCGGGCGGCGUGGCGUCCAGGAACUUGCGGUGCGCCGUCAGCUGGCCGCAGUGCGACACCAGCGGCUCCACGUAGUCGGCGAUGACCUGGCGGCAAGCAGGGGGAGGGGCCCGUGGAGGGGGGGGGGUGAAUACCAGCCCAAACUAAACCAGAACAAACGAAGACGAGCGGAGCACUGGCAGAGGUGUUAGUUGCAAGCGAGAAUACUUAUGGGAUGUGGGGGUAUAGUUAGGGAAGUGGUAGACGGUAGCUGCUGACAGUACCCGGGGGGCUACAAUCAUGAUUAUAUACAAGGCGUAGCCGGGUACAGGGGGGGGCAGGCCGGCAGGGCACGCCGCGCACGUGUGCUGUACGGCCCAGCAUGUGUGUGUGUGUGUGUGUGUGUGUGUGUGUGUGUGUGUGUGUGUGUGUGUGUGUGUGUGUGUGUGUGUGUGUGUGUGUGUGUGUGUGUGUGUGUGUGUGUGUGUGUGUCAGGCGGGUGGUUCCCCUGUCGCCCCACCCACCUGGUCCAGGUCCUCGUACACCAGGUUGCCCAGGCCGCAGUGGCUGGCGUCGAUGGUGAAGGGCGGCGCCAGCGUCAGGUGCGCGGCUGUAGCGGAGGGGCGAUGGGUUGGGAUAUUAUGCGCGGCCGGUGUGGUUGGAGCGUGGUUACAGAGUGGUGCCAGGGAUUGGAAUCGGGAGUACGGCAUGCGUGUGUGUGACGGGCAGGGGGCAGGUUCUUAUGUGUGUGAGACGAUUAGGGGCUUUUGCUCGCGCGGGCGAUGUGCGCGCGGGCCGCCCGGUUGACCUCACCUCUCCCCUGCGGCUUGUCGCUCUCGCGCAGGAAGGUCACCGCGAACACGGGCCCCGCCGCCAGCUGCGCGAUCUUGAUGGUCACGUCCAGCUCGUUGGGGUUGCGGCGGUAGGAGGGGCGCAGGAUGGCGGAGCCCACGGGCACCUCCUUGGGCGCCAGCGCGUGCACCGCGUCCAGCUGCAGGGCGGGGCGGGGGGGGGGUCGUAGAUACCAGCCCAAACUAAACCAAACCCAAUGCAAUAGAGCGGGGGGUUACAUUCAUGACUAGUUAAGGAAGUGGCAGACGGGGGGGGUGCAAGGAUGUUUGGAAAAGCGGGGGGGGGGAUGGUGGUGGCGUGAUGGUGUGGUUUACUAGGGAGCGAAGUUGUAGCCAAGGCACUGUGGUACAGCAGGCGCGUCGUUACCGGUGACCAUGCAGUCCAGCAGGGUGGGCGGUUUGGGGUUUCUGUGAUGGUGUCACGGGUGUGUGCCAUGCACCUGCCCACCCACCCUCUCCUCUCCCCCCUCCAGCCCACCUAGCCCCUCUAGCCCCUCCAACCCCACCGCACCCCGCACACCUGGCUGAUGUUUUUGAACAUGGGGUGCCGGAUGGGCCGCACCAGCACCGUCUGCUCCCGGCUGCGCCCCGCCUCGUCCGCACGGCGCUUGGCGGUGGCCUCGGUCUUCUCGCGCACCCUGUGCCGUGAGGCAGAGCGGCGAGGAGAACCCAGAUACGGUGCCACCAGUCAGACGGCGCAUUCCAUACUCCAGGGACAGGGACAGGGGGUUAGCUCUCAUGCAAUCCCGAAAGGAAGCAGGAGCGCUGCAAGGAGAAGCUACAGGGACAGGGGGUACAGGUACAGGCGGUACUCCGCACUGGCUUAUUCCCCUCCACCGCCUCCACCAUCAACAACGCCACGCCACGCCACGCCCUAAUGUAUGCGCACGCACGCACGAACGCCUCCGCACUCACACGUAGUUGGGCUCCCGGCUGGCGCAGUACUUGCGCUCGUACUCGCCGCCCUCGUCGUUCACCACAGACGACCUGGCGGGAGGCAGGUUUGAAGGAGGGAGAGGGGGUGAUGGGACAUGGUGUGCGGCGUGGGGGAGGUACAUUCAUGAAUAUGUAAGAAGUGAAGGCGCAGCCAGGAACAGAAGCAGGCGGGGUCGACGGGUCACGGCGUGUGGCGUGGGGGAGAGGUGAGGUGGUGUAAGGCGAGGUGGAGCGAGGGCGCUGGGAGGGCGCGCCGUAGGGUCAUACCGUACACACACGCACGCACAUAUGAUGACUCACUUUGUUGAGAGCACCACCAUGAAGCGAGUGCCGCUGCCGGAUUGGUCGGGCUGCUCCUCUAUGCGGAUGAUGCGGCCGCGGGCCACGCUGUUGAGCCGCGACUGCAUCACUGCCUGCCACUCCGGGCCGCCCACGCGGCCUGCGACAACAGGGGAAGGGAGGGCGGGCGGCGGUAUGCGAGCCGGGGGGGGGGGGUACAUUUAUAAUUCUUUAAGAAGUGAAGGCAUAGCCAGGGGAAAGGAUGUGUGGUGGAGCGGUAGCGGAACGGGAAUGCAGACGGGAGGAGGUAGGCGAGGCGAGGCGACAACCAACCGCCGCUGCCGCACAGCCAGUGCCGCUCUGUGCACUGCGGCUCAGGCGUGCGCUCAACUCCUCACGCUCCCACGCUCCCCCCACACGCGCUCCCGCGCCCUCUCUGGCUCACCCGUGUAGCUGCCCGACACCUCCUCCGCCGGCACCAUGCCCUCCGUGCCGCUGUUGAUGAGGAUGACCUUGAGGCAGUCGCGAGUCACGUACGUGAUCUUGACCUGUGGGUGGAGGAGGGAGGGGGGAGUGCAGGCAGGUGGAGGGGGUGAACUAGAGAAAUAAAGCGCAGGGAAAGGCGUCCGCCCCCGCGACGCAGGGAAAGGCGUAGCCCGCGCUGACAUGGACCAUGGUAACUGCCCUCCCCACCAGCCAAGCUCGCCGGCGCCCAGGCGCGACUGCCUUGGACAUGCCCCGCCUCCCGCCCCGCUCUCCCGUUCCCCGCCUCCCGCCCCGCUCUCCCGUUCCCCACCUCCAGCCCCGACUCCCGGCCCGCCCCUCCCCUCCCCCUCCCCCCCGCCUCCACUCACGUCCACGAUGCGCCCCUCCUGCAGGCUCUCCUCGCUCUCGUUGUUGCACAGCAGGAACACCUGGGGGCGGGCGGGCGGGCGGGUGUGCACGUGUGUGUGGGUUGGCGGGCGCGGCGGUGAAAGCACGGAGCGCUGACAAACCAAGACAUGGACCAAGGAAAACGGCGUUCGGCGGCGUUGGCUCUUCGCAUGGUGCACGUGCAGGAGCGUCUGCUCUCGCGCACAUGCACACACCGCCAGCCCUCCAGUCCUCCAGCCCCCCAAACCCCAAUCACCCCACCCCACCCCACCUGUCGCGGGCUGAUCUCCUGCCAUGCCGGCCGCAGCUCCAUGGCCGGGCACACCAGCUCCGCCACGAUGUCGAUGAGCGUGGGCAGCCCCACAGGCAGCGGCUUGCCCUCGGCCGCCGCGUCCGACAUGAACUUCUCCAGGUCAAACGACUCGAUCUGGGAGGGGGGAGAGGGGGUGGGUGGGUUGGGGAUUACAAUGAGGUUGGGGGUCGGGCUGCUCCAUUUGCUACCCCGGGUGUAGCCGGCAUGCCCAAGGCCCAGUUACCCCCCA
rnacentral:lncRNA from 1 species